rnacentral:rRNA from 1 species
CUUGGUCAUUUAGAGGAAGUAAAAGUCGUAACAAGGUUUCCGCUAGGUGAACCUGCGGAAGGAUCAUUAUUGAAUGAACUUGGUGUGGUUGUUGCUGGCCCUUUUGGGGGCAUGUGCACACCCACCAUCCUCAUCUCUCCACCUGUGCACCUCUUGUAGACUUGGGGGAUAGACUUUCCGAGGCAACUCGGUCUGGAGGAAUGCUUCUCAAGCUUUCUUUGUAUUUCCCGGUCUACGUUUUUUUUUAUAUACCCCAUAGCAUGUAACAGAAUGUAUCAUUUGGGCCCUUGUGCCUAUAAACCUUAUACAACUUUCAGCAACGGAUCUCUUGGCUCUCGCAUCGAUGAAGAACGCAGCGAAAUGCGAUAAGUAAUGUGAAUUGCAGAAUUCAGUGAAUCAUCGAAUCUUUGAACGCACCCUGCGCCCCUUGGUAUUCCGAGGAGCAUGCCUGUUUGAGUGUCAUUAAAUUCUCAACCUUAUCAGUUUAUUUCUGAUAGUGGCUUGGAUGUGGGGGUUUCUCUUGCUGGCUCAGGUCAGCUCCCCUUAAAUGCAUUAGCUGGUGCCCCGUGUGGACUGUCUAUUGGUGUGAUAAUUAUCUACGCCAUGCAUGGAUGGUCUGCUUAGCACUGCUUCUAACCGUCUCAGACAAUACAUGACAAUUUGACCUCAAAUCAGGUAGGACUACCCGCUGAACUUAAGCAUAUCAAUAAGCGGAGGAAAAGAAACUAACAAGGAUUCCCCUAGUAACUGCGAGUGAAGCGGGAAAAGCUCAAAUUUAAAAUCUGGCGGUCUCUGGCUGUCCGAGUUGUAAUCUAGAGAAGUGUUAUCCGCGCUGGACCGUGUACAAGUCUCCUGGAAUGGAGCGUCACAGAGGGUGAGAAUCCCGUCUUUGACACGGACUGCCAGGGCUUUGUGAUGCGCUCUCAAAGAGUCGAGUUGUUUGGGAAUGCAGCUCAAAAUGGGUGGUAAAUUCCAUCUAAAGCUAAAUAUUGGCGAGAGACCGAUAGCGAACAAGUACCGUGAGGGAAAGAUGAAAAGAACUUUGGAAAGAGAGUUAAACAGUACAAGAAAUUGCUGAAAGGGAAACGCUUGAAGU